UACGUAGGGCGCAAGCGUUGUCCGGAUUUAUUGGGCGUAAAGAGCUCGUAGGCGGUUUGUCGCGUCUUCCGUGAAAACUGGGGGCUUAACUUCCAGCUUGCGGUGGGUACGGGCUGACUGGAGUGCGGCAGGGGAGACUGGAAUUCCUGGUGUAGCGGUGAAAUGCGCAGAUAUCAGGAGGAACACCGGUGGCGAAGGCGGGUCUCUGGGCCGAUACUGACGCUGAGGAGCGAAAGCGUGGGGAGCGAACAGG
rnacentral:rRNA from 1 species